rnacentral:rRNA from 1 species
UCUAGAGCUAAUACAUGCCAAUAUGCCCUGACCCGCGAGGGAAUGGGUGGAUUUAUUAGAACAGAACCAACCGGUUGUAGUUUCGGCUGCUUCCGUUGCACUCUGUGAUGACUCUGGAUAACUUUUCUGAUCGCAGUCGGCCUUGUGUCGGCGACGGAUCUUUCAAAUGUCUGCCCUAUCAAUUUUCGAUGGUAGG